AACCCAUGAUGAGGGCACCUUCGUAAUAAGUCCUUGUAUCUCUCCCAUGCAUCAUAAAGAGUUUCUAGAUCCAUCUGUAAAAAUUUUUCAAUCAUUUGUUCCU
rfam:Gossypium arboreum cultivar AKA8401 contig_16534_5, whole genome shotgun sequence.